CUUCUUCAAUUUGCUGCGGGCAUAUGAAGUGGAUAUGCGUAUCUAUUCCACCCGCAGUCACAAUCAUCCCCUCACCCGCAAUGAUUUCAGUACCAGGACCAAUAACGGAAGUAAUACCAGGCUGAAUGUCGGGAUUGCCUGCUUUACCAAUAUUUGAAAUGCGCCCAUUUUUAAUCGAAAUAUCAGCCUUAACGAUUCCCCAAUGGUCAAUGAUCACAGCAUUAGUGAUCACAGUAUCAGCACAGUCUUUUGAUUCGCGUUGACUUUGACCCAUACCAUCACG
rnacentral:sRNA from 1 species